UAAGGAAUAUUGGGCAAUGGACGCAAGUCUGACCCAGCCAUGCCGCGUGAAGGAUGAAUGUCCUAUGGAUUGUAAACUUCUUUUAUGCAGGAAAAAUAUCCUGGUCGAGCACCGGGACUGAUGGUACUGUAUGAAUAAGCAUCGGCUAACUCCGUGCCAGCAGCCGCGGUAAUACGGAGGAUGCAAGCGUUAUCCGGAUUCAUUGGGUUUAAAGGGUGCGCAGGCGGAAUGAUAAGUCAGUGGUGAAAUCUCCCGGCUCAACCGGGAAACUGCCAUUGAUACUGUCAUUCUUGAGUACAGUUGAAGUGGGCGGAAUGUGUCAUGUAGCGGUGAAAUGCUUAGAUAUGACACAGAACACCGAUAGCGAAGGCAGCUCACUAAGCUGUAACUGACGCUCAUGCACGAAAGCGUGGGGAUCAAACAG
rnacentral:rRNA from 1 species